GAUGAACGCUGGCGGCGUGCCUAAUACAUGCAAGUCGAGCGAAUGGAUUAAGAGCUUGCUCUUAUGAAGUUAGCGGCGGACGGGUGAGUAACACGUGGGUAACCUGCCCAUAAGACUGGGAUAACUCCGGGAAACCGGGGCUAAUACCGGAUAACAUUUUGAACCGCAUGGUUCGAAAUUGAAAGGCGGCUUCGGCUGUCACUUAUGGAUGGACCCGCGUCGCAUUAGCUAGUUGGUGAGGUAACGGCUCACCAAGGCAACGAUGCGUAGCCGACCUGGGCGGGUGAGCGGCCACACUGGGACUGAGACACGGCCCAGACUCCUACGGGAGGCAGCAGUAGGGAAUCUUCCGCAAUGGACGAAAGUCUGACGGAGCAACGCCGCGUGAGUGAUGAAGGCUUUCGGGUCGUAAAACUCUGUUGUUAGGGAAGAACAAGUGCUUGUUGAAUAAGCUGGCACCUUGACGGUACCUAACCAGAAAGCCACGGCUAACUACGUGCCAGCCGCCGCCGUAA
rnacentral:rRNA from 1 species